UGGGGAAUUUUGGACAAUGGGCGAAAGCCUGAUCCAGCAAUGCCGCGUGUGUGAAGAAGGCCUUCGGGUUGUAAAGCACUUUUGUCCGGAAAGAAAUGGCUCUGGUUAAUACCUGGGGUCGAUGACGGUACCGGAAGAAUAAGGACCGGCUAACUACGUGCCAGCAGCCGCGGUAAUACGUAGGGUCCAAGCGUUAAUCGGAAUUACUGGGCGUAAAGCGUGCGCAGGCGGUUGUGCAAGACCGAUGUGAAAUCCCCGAGCUUAACUUGGGAAUUGCAUUGGUGACUGCACGGCUAGAGUGUGUCAGAGGGGGGUAGAAUUCCACGUGUAGCAGUGAAAUGCGUAGAGAUGUGGAGGAAUACCGAUGGCGAAGGCAGCCCCCUGGGAUAACACUGACGCUCAUGCACGAAAGCGUGGGGAGCAGACAGGAUUAGAUACCCUGGUAGUCCACGCCCUAAAACGAUGUCAACUAGUUGUUGGGGAUUCAUUUCCUUAGUAACGUAGCUAACGCGUUAAAUCGACCGCCUGGGGAG
rnacentral:rRNA from 1 species